rnacentral:rRNA from 1 species
AGAGUUUGAUCAUGGCUCAGGACGAACGCUGGCGGCGUGCCUAAUACAUGCAAGUCGAACGAGAAUUUCUUACACCGAGUGCUUGCACUCACCGUAAGAAAUUCGAGUGGCGGACGGGUGAGUAACACGUGGGUAACCUGCCCAAAAGAAGGGGAUAACAUUUGGAAACAAAUGCUAAUACCGUAUAACCAUGAUGACCGCAUGGUCAUUAUGUAAAAGGUGGUUCUGCUAUCGCUUUUGGAUGGACCCGCGGCGUAUUAACUAGUUGGUAGGGUAACGGCCUACCAAGGUGAUGAUACGUAGCCGAGUUGAGAGACUGAUCGGCCACAAUGGGGCUGAGACACGGCCCAUACUCCUACGGGAGGCAGCAGUAGGGAAUCUUCCACAAUGGGCGCAAGCCUGAUGGAGCAACGCCGCGUGAAUGAAGAAGGUCUUCGGAUCGUAAAAUUCUGUUGUUAGAGAAGAAUAUGAGUAAUAGUAACUGAUUAUUCACUGACGGUAUCUAACCAGCAAGUCACGGCUAACUACGUGCCAGCAGCCGCGGUAAUACGUAGGUGGCAAGCGUUGUCCGG